AUUGAACGCUGGCGGCAGGCCUUACACAUGCAAGUCGAACGAGUGGCGGACGGGUGAGUAAUGUCUGGGACUCUGCCUGAUGGAGGGGGACAACUACUGGAAACGGUAGCUAAUAACGCAUACCAUCGGAUGUGCCUAGAUGGGAUUAGCUUGUAGGUGGGGUAAACGCUCACCUAGGCGACGAUCCAUAGCUGGUCUGAGAGGAUGACCAGCCACACUGGAACGGAGACACGGUCCAGACUCCUACGGGAGGCAGCAGUGGGGAAUAUUGCACAAUGGGCGCAAGCCUGAUGCAGCCAUGCCGCGUGUAUGAAGAAGGCCUUCGGGUUGUAAAGUACUUUCAGCGGGGAAGCGUUACCCGCAGAAGAAGCACCGGCUAACUCCGUGCCAGCAGCCGCGGUAAUUC
rnacentral:rRNA from 1 species